rnacentral:rRNA from 1 species
GACGAACGCUGGCGGCGUGCCUAAUACAUGCAAGUCGACCUUAGUUGCGAACUGGUUAGUAACCCGUGGGUAACCUGCCCAUCAGAAGGGGAUAACACUUGGAAACACGCGCUAAUACCGUAUACUGAUGGCUAGACCCGCGGUGCAUUAGCUAGUUGGUGAGGUAACGGCUCACCAAGGCCACGAUGAAUAGCCGACCUGAGAGGUUGAUCGGCAACAGUGGGACUGAGACACGGCCCAGACUCCUACGGGAGGCAGCAGUGGGGAAUAUUCGGCAAUGGACGAAAGUCUGAUCGAGCAAUGCCGCGUGAGUGAAGAAGGUGUUCGGAUCGUAAAACUCUGUUAUUAGAGAAGCGGUACCGAAACAGGAAGCAACGGCUAACUACGUGCCAGCAGCCGCGGUAAUAC